rnacentral:rRNA from 1 species
GACGAACCGAGCGAGCGUUGUUCGGAAUCACUGGGCUUAAAGGGCGCGUAGGCGGGUGCUCAAGUCCGGGGGGAAAUCCUCCAGCUCAACUGGAGAACUGCCUCGGAUACUGGGUGUCUCGAGGGUGGUAGGGGUAUGCGGAACUAUCGGUGGAGCGGUGAAAUGCGUUGAUAUCGAUAGGAACUCCGGUGGCGAAGGCGGCAUACUGGACCACAUCUGACGCUGAGGCGCGAAAGCCAGGGGAGCAAACGGG